CUCGUAGGUGGUUGGUCACGUCUGCUGUGGAAACGCAACGCUUAACGUUGCGCGUGCAGUGGGUACGGGCUGACUAGAGUGCAGUAGGGGAGUCUGGAAUUCCUAGUGUAGCGGUGAAAUGCGCAGAUAUCAGGAGGAACACCGGUGGCGAAGGCGGGACUCUGGGCUGUAACUGACACUGAGGAGCGAAAGCAUGGGGAGCGAACA
rnacentral:rRNA from 1 species